AGCUCCAAUAGCGUAUAUUAAAGUUGUUGCAGUUAAAAAGCUCGUAGUUGGAUUUGUGGCAGUCGCGUGCGGCCCGGCAUUCGUGCCGGUGCUUGCUAGCGUCGCCAUCCUUGGGUGGAACCUGUGUGGCAUUAGGUUGUCGUGCAGGGGAUGCCCAUCGUUUACUGUGAAAAAAUUAGAGUGUUCAAAGCAGGCUUAUGCCGUUGAAUAUAUUAGCAUGGAAUAAUAAGAUAGGACCUUGGUACUAUUUUGUUGGUUUGCGCACCAAGGUAAUGAUUAAUAGGGACAGUUGGGGGUAUUCGUAUUCCAUUGUCAGAGGUGAAAUUCUUGGAUUUUUGGAAGACGAACUACUGCGAAAGCAUUUACCAAGGAUGUUUUCAUUAAUCAAGAACGAAAGUAG
rnacentral:rRNA from 1 species